rnacentral:lncRNA from 1 species
GGCGUCUAGUAACGGUGACUGCCAGCAGAUGUCACCAUCCCACAAGACAUGAAAUGCCAGGACCCACUGGAUCCUUGUACAUUUCUGAUUCUACUUGGCACACCUGGAAGGAUCAGCUAUCAUAUGUGAAAAUCAGCAUAUGAGAGGGAAUGGCUGGUGGAGAGGAAAGGUUUGCACAGAACCCCUGAGGGAGAGGAGAGGAACAGUGACUAUCCAAUGCCUGUGACCCUGAGUUGUGCCCAAGGGAGAGCCCCAGUGAGGGACACGUGGGCACAGAGCCACCUGCAGCCAAGAGCAGCCUCAGUGAGCAUCCUCGUGGAACUACAGCCAAUGACUCUCUUGAAUUAAUGGGCCGGGUGGGCUGUGUCCUGGUGGUCUUGACACGUUGGUGAGGAAGCACAGCUUCGUUCUAGGCUAGCUGCCCCAGGACAUCUGACUCAUUCAGAUUGGCAAGCCAAUGGCGGUGACACAAUGUUCAAUCUCCUGAAUCCAUGAGAUGAGGCCCAGUGCAGGCAAAGCUUUCACACUUUGGUGCCAACCCCUCCAGGACUUCCAUCUCUGCUCCAAGAAAUUUGACAUUUUCAAAAAUUCAGAAAUCAAUUGGAGUGGAGCCAGCUCUGUCAGCGGAUUAUUAACGGCCCUGGAGCUGACUGAUCGCGUUUGCACAGCCUUUCAAUAAACAGCUUCAACAACAACUCAGAGGAAAAGAAAGCACACACCCCAUCCAAUCGGGACAGACUUGAAGUAUCGAUUCCCCCACCUCCUUCCCACCCCCGGCCUUCAGAGCAAAUCGAGAGGAUUACACCAUGGUAGUUGAUGAUUGCCAGACCCCCAUGUCACCAGGGCCCAACUGUGUUUUGCUGGAAUAGCGCGUUGUCUGCUUUAGCUGAAAUGACUCUUCCAAGAUUUCCUGAGGCCAGGGCGACAAACAGCUGCAUCCUGGGGAGGGGCAGCAACGAAAGGAACGUCUGGCCGGGCCAGGGACUCCAGGGGGCUCUUCCUGACGCUCACUUCUCGGCUGCCUGGGAAAGUGCUGCCCUAAACCUCCACAGGAGCAGCCGGUCCUCCCAGAGCGCUGGAAACAGAAGGCAACUGGCCGCAGAGCCGGCAGCCUCUCUAGCCGGAGGGGCUGCGGUCUUUAGUGAGCUGCUUUCUGUUCCUACUCUAUCCUGUUUGUGGGACAGGCAGGGAGAACCACGGGAGAUAUUUCAGAGGACCCGGUCUCAUCAGUCUACACCCCUGAGUGUGCUCUCUGCUGACGUAAAGACAUCGUUGGUCCUCACCCACUGUGACAGAAGCCAGGACUGCUUGGUGACACACAGAUGUGGAUUUUCUUCUAUCUCCUAGUUGUUUCAAAAUUUGAUAUCUCAACACAAAUUAACUGGCUAAUUGUACAACACCCUCCCCCUGCC